GGACUUUUAGCUCAGUUAGUUACAGCAUGGUGCUGAUAACACCAAGGUCAUGGGUUUGAUCCCUGUAGAGUUGG
rnacentral:tRNA from 1 species